UGGGCUUUAUUGAUGAUUUGAAAACCAUAAAAUCUCGAAUUAUGGAAGAAUCCAAAGAUUUUUUUGUCAUUCCAAUUGUGGGGAAUGCUGGGACAGGAAAAACUACAUUUGCCUUAAAGAUUUUUGAAGAUCCGGAAGUUAGGAAAAUUUUCACCCAUUGCAUUUGGGUUCAUGUUUCACGAGGGUGUCAUAGAAAGCAAAAAUUCAUUGACAUUCUGCAUCAAAUUUCCAAACAAACAAAAGACUUUAGCACGGAGUUAGAAGAUGAUGAGUUGGAAGCUAAAGUAAAGGGAUUAUUAAAGGAUGAAAGAUAUUUCAUUGUAUUGGAUGAUGUGCGAGAAAAAGAAGACUGGGAUUCUUUAAAAGUUGCAUUCCCUACAAAUUUGGGAGGGAGUAGAGUCUUGGUAACCACCUUGAGCGGCAAUGUUGUUGAUUCUACCUGGAAAUCUCAUAGUUUAGGAAAGUUGAGCAAUAAUGAUGGUUGGUUGCUGAUAAAAGAUAAUGUUUUUGGUACAGAGGGAUGGUGUGACACAUUAAUUGAAGAGCUUGGGAUAAAAAUAGCAGAAAAGUGCAAUGGAUUACCACACGCUCUAGUACUGGUAACUGGUAUCCUACGCAAUUGUAUAACUUCAGUUAGUUGGCAACGAGUGGCUGAUAAUCCGCUUCUAGAAAUUAACGGAGAAGACCAAAGCUACCAUGAGUUAGUAAAAUUGAGCUAUGAUGAUUUGCAUGAUGAGAGGUUGAAAAAAUGCUUCUUAUAUUUUGCAUAUUUUCCCAUGGGACAUGAGAUUGUUGCUUGGAAGUUAAUUUGUUUGUGGAUUGCUGAAGGAUUCCUUCCAAAAGGAGAUGGGUACCUUUUAGAGGUAGAGGUUGAAGCUUCAAAAUAUUUGAAUGUUCUUGUUAAUAGAAAUCUUGUGAUGGUGAAGAAAAGAAGCAUAGAUGGUCAAAUCAAAACAUGUUGCAUUCAUGACACAUUACAUGAGUUCUGCAGAAGUGAAGCUGAAAACACAAAGUUAUUCCAUGUAAUGGAUGAGGGGCAAAGAUUAAAUGAAAGAAUUUAUUUGGAUAGACUUUGUUCAUACUACACUAUGAACAUAUUUGAUCAUGUAGAAAACAAUAAUCCAUCUGAUUCAUUCUCCAAUCUCUUCAACAAAAGGAUGGGUCCACGUCAAGAUGCUGAACUUGUUGAUUCUUUGUUGAUAUCCUCCUCACAAAAGAGAGAGAUUCAUUCGACGCCAGAGCAGUUGGAAACCAUCCUAAAAACCUUUAAAUAUCUUGAGGUGUUGAAUAUUGAAUCCCUUAAAUUUAGCUCGCUGCCAAAUGAGCUUUAUUCCCGACGCUAUAUCAAGUAUCUUGCAAUCACAGCUGAUAUCAAUUCCCUCCCCAAGUCAUUCGAACAUCUUUCGUCGUUGGAGACUCUAGUGAUAAAAACCACAGAAAGGGCACUACAAAUUAAUGGAGGCAUAUGGAACAUGAAAGACUUAAGGCAUGUGCACACCAACACCUCUACGCAAUUACCCUCCCCUCCCAAGAGAGGUAAGCAUAGCUGUAAACAAACAGAUAUCCGCACACUUUCUACCAUAUCACCAGGAAGUUGCACAAGCAAGAUCUUCAACAAGACCCCCAAACUCCAAAAGUUAGGUGUUCGUGGAAAUUUAUCAGAACUUCUCGAGGAAAAACAAAAUGUUUGCUUGUUCAAUAAUCUUCAAAUGCUAGAAUGCCUCGAAAACUUGAAGCUUCAUGGCAACUCUGAGAAAUUAGAGUUGAAGGUCCCAAUGUCCAAUAAGUUUCCAAGAAGACUAAGAAAGUUGACCUUGUCUGGUACAUUAUUUCAAUGGAAUGACAUGAUUGUAUUGGGAUUGCUGGAGAAGCUCAAAGUACUCAAGUUGGAUGACAAUGCCUUCUCGGGGGAACAUUGGGAUCUAAGCAGUGAUGUUAUUUUCAAAACGCUUCAGUAUUUGCGCAUUGGUAAGAUGAACCUCAUAACUUGGACAGCUGUGGACUCAGGGAAAAGCUUUCCAGUUCUUGAAAGCCUGGUUCUUAGGAAUUGUAUUUCCCUAGAAAGUAUUCCACAGGAUUUAGCUAAUGUGGACAGCCUUAAAGUGAUGGAACUGUUUGAUGUGAGCGAAAGUGUGUUUGAUUUUGCAAGAGAGAUUUGUGUGAAAAGGCAUGGAAAAACAAAUGUCAAAAUCAAUGGAUUCAACCUCUUCAUCACUCCUCUUCCGUCACAAGCAACGGUACACAACCAAGCAUAUGGGAAUGAACAUGUCAAAACCAGUGGAUUCAACCACCCUAGCACAUCUAUUUCGUUACAAGAAAUUCUACAUAAUCAAGCAUAUGGGGAUGGAAAUGUCAACACCAGUGGAUUGGGCCAGCCCAGCAACUCUUCUUCAUCACAAGAAAUCGUACAUAACCAAGCAAAUGAGAAUGAACAUGACAAGACCAAUGAAUUCGACCACCCUAGCACCUCUAUUCCGUCACAAGAAAUAGUGCAUAAGCAAUGGCAUGGGGAGGAAAAUGGAUGGUCUCGACAGUCCUAGACUCCUAGUUUCUGAUGAUUAACCCUCCGGUCAUCGAUGUGAACUGCUUUCUUGAAAUAAAAGGGUUAAAGUUGAUAUGUGUGUUUUUCUUGGUGCAAAGAAUGUGCCGAGAUCAUAAAUGAGCUACCUAUUUUUAUUUCUUUCUUGUCAGUGAUCUUAUCUAGAGCUCAGACAUGUGGUUCGAUGAAUUCCCAUUUCAAGCAUUGAGUGGCACGUACGCAUUCAUGUUGAAAGCCAAUUUAAGUGUGUUUUAGUGAUUUGAUAUUGUUGGGAGACUAUUUUUGUAUUGCCAAUUUGUGAUUACUUUCUCAUGACUUUUAUAUGGUAUUUUGGUAUCGUAGUCAAGGACUCAAGGCUAGCUUGUUUAUCAUUUUUUUUUUUUUGAUGUAUUGCUUAUUUGUCUUAGCAGUGUGGGUUUGCUUGUGAAGGUAAAACACUCAUUUUGGUGACUCUAAAAUAAAUUACUGACUAUAUGUUCCA